rnacentral:tRNA from 2 species
GGGCGUAUGGUAUAAUGGUAAAACAUCUGACUCCAGAUCAGAGGAUUAGGGUUCGAUUCCUUAUGCGUCUG